rnacentral:rRNA from 1 species
AUACGUAGGUGGCGAGCGUUAUCCGGAAUUACUGGGCGUAAAGGGCACGCAGGCGGCCACUCAAGUCUGACGUGAAAGCUCCCGGCUUAACUGGGAGAGGUCGUUGGAGACUGAGUGGCUUGAGGCGAUGAGAGGGGUGCGGAAUUCCCGGUGUAGUGGUGGAAUGCGUAGAUAUCGGGAGGAACACCAGUGGCGAAAGCGGCGCCCUAGCAUUGGCCUGACGCUCAUGUGCGAAAGCGUGGGGAGCGAACGGGGUUAGAUACCCCGGUAGUCCACGCUGUAAACGAUGAGCACUAGGUGUAGGCGGUGUCAAAGCUGUCUGUGCCGAAGCAAACGCGAUAAGUGCUCCGCCUGGGGAGUACGGCCGCAAGGCUAAA